CCCUUGGGACUGGGAUAGCCGCGGGAAACUGCGGGUAAUACCAGAUAACGUCUCCGGACCAAAGGUGUGAUUCCGCCUGAGGACGGGUCCGCGUUCUAUUAGCUAGUUGGUAGGGUAAUGGCCUACCAAGGCGAAGAUGGAUACGGGGUGUGAGAGCAUGCCCCCGCUCACUGGGACUGAGACACUGCCCAGACACCUACGGGUGGCUGCAGUCGAGGAUCUUCGGCAAUGGGCGCAAGCCUGACCGAGCGACGCCGCGUGCGAGAUGAAGGCCUUCGGGUUGUAAAUCGCUGUCAGUGGGGAGGAAAUGCCGGUGGGUUCUCCCAUCGGUUUGACCUAUCCGCAGAGGAAGGACGGGCUAAGUUCGUGCCAGCAGCCGCGGUAAGACGAACCGUCCAAACGUUAUUCGGAAUCACUGGGCUUAAAGGGUGCGUAGGCUGCCCGGUAAGUUGGGUGUGAAAGCCCUCGGCUCAACCGAGGAAUGGCGCCCAAAACUGUCGGGCUAGAGGAAGAUAGAGGUGAGCGGAACUAAGGGUGGAGCGGUGAAAUGCGUUGAUAUCCUUAGGAACACCAGUAGCGAAAGCGGCUCACUGGGUCUUCUCUGACGCUGAGGCACGAAAGCUAGGGGAGCGAACGGGAUUAGAUACCCCGGUAGUCCUAGCCCUAAACGAUGAGCACUGGUUUGGAGGGUCCUCCAUAGCCCUCCAGACGUAGCGAAAGUGUUAAGU
rnacentral:rRNA from 1 species